GGGUUUAGCUCAGUGGCAAAAGCACCUGCCUGGCAAGCAUGAGGUCAUGAGUUCGAUCCCCAGUACCCA
rnacentral:tRNA from 1 species